rnacentral:rRNA from 9 species
CAAGUCGAACGGCAGCAUGGAGAGCUUGCUCUCUGAUGGCGAGUGGCGAACGGGUGAGUAAUAUAUCGGAACGUGCCCAGUAAUGGGGAAUAACUAAUUGAAAGAUUAGCUAAUACCGCAUACGACCUACGGGUGAAAGCAGGGGAUCUUCGGACCUUGCGUUAUUGGAGCGGCCGAUAUCUGAUUAGCUAGUUGGUAGGGUAAAAGCCUACCAAGGCGACGAUCAGUAGCUGGUCU